UUGACGGGGCCCGCACAAGCGGAGGAACAUGUGGUUUAAUUCGAUGAUACGCGAGGAACCUUACCUGGGCUUAAAUGGGGAGUGACAGCUGUCGAAAGAUGGUUUUCUUCGGACACUCUUCAAGGUGCUGCAUGGUUGUCGUCAGCUCGUGCCGUGAGGUGUCGGGUUAAGUCCCAUAACGAGCGCAACCCUUACCGUUAGUUACCAUCAGGUUAAGCUGGGGACUCUAGCGGGACUGCCACCGUAAGGUGAGAGGAAGGUGGGGAUGACGUCAAAUCAGCACGGCCCUUAUGUCCAGGGCUACACACGUGUUACAAUGGCCAGUACAAAGGGCAGCUACCGGGUGACCGGAUGCUAAUCUCUAAAGCUGGUCUCAGUUCGGAUCGAAGUCUGCAACCCGACUUCGUGAAGCUGGAUUCGCUAGUAAUCGCGCAUCAGCCAUGGCGCGGUGAAUACGUUCCCGGGCCUU
rnacentral:rRNA from 1 species